rnacentral:rRNA from 1 species
AUACGGAGGAUCCGAGCGUUAUCCGGAUUUAUUGGGUUUAAGGGGUGCGCAGGCGGCCAUUUAAGUCAGCGGUUAAAUCGUGGGGCUCAACCCCAUUCUGCCGUUGAUACUGGGUGGCUUGAUUGCGGUCGAGGUUGGCGGAAUUCGUUGUGUAGCGGUGAAAUGCAUAGAUAUGACGAAGAACACCGAUUGCGUAGGCAGCUGACCAGACCGCAAAUGACGCUCAUGCACGAAAGUGCGGGGAUCGAACAGGAUUAGAUACCCUGGUAGUCCGCACAGUAAACGAUGAAUACUUGUUUUCGGCGAUAUAAUGUCGGAGGCAAAGCGAAAGCGAUAAGUAUUCCACCUGGGGAGUACGCCGGCAACGGUGAAACUUAAAGGAAUUGACGGGG